rnacentral:rRNA from 1 species
GACGGGACCGCACAAGCGGUGGAUGAUGUGGUUAAUUCGAUGCAACGCGAAAACCUUACCCACCUUUGACAUGUACGGAAUCCUUUAGAGAUAGAGGAGUGCUCGAAAGAGAACCGUAACACAGGUGCUGCAUGGCUGUCGUCAGCUCGUGUCGUGAGAUGUUGGGUUAAGUCCCGCAACGAGCGCAACCCUUGUCAUUAGUUGCUACAUUCAGUUGGGCACUCUAAUGAGACUGCCGGUGACAAACCGGAGGAAGGUGGGGAUGACGUCAAGUCCUCAUGGCCCUUAUAGGUGGGGCUACACACGUCAUACAAUGGAUGGUACAAAGGGUCGCCAACCCGCGAGGGGGAGCCAAUCCCAUAAAGCCAUUCGUAGUCCGGAUCGCAGUCUGCAACUCGACUGCGUGAAGUCGGAAUCGCUAGUAAUCGUGGAUCAGAAUGUCACGGUGAAUACGUUCCCGGGUCUU